rnacentral:ncRNA from 1 species
CAGAGUAGGCACUGCGGCGUCAAGUGCCGUCGGGACGGGGAGUUGCCCGACGGACGAAAGCGGAUCGCUGCGGUUGCGGUGCCGCAUCCCGCUG